rnacentral:lncRNA from 1 species
AUGCAAAGACAGGCGCUAAAAGACAUGGAAAUAUGAGUCUGUGCUUACGUUAGAUUCUUUGAGUUUGAAAUUCCCAUAGAUUUGCAGCCCGCAUGUUCCAAUAUAACAUGAGCACACUCUGUACUUUUUUGUCACGGCUCUAUGCAGUAUAGAUUCACCUUCAUCAUCAACUGCAUUUGGAUCAGCACCAGCCAAUAGCAAUCCUAUUGUCGUUUAUAAACAAUAUUAUUACGAUAACAAACCAAAUAAUUAGUUACAAUGACUUGGCCCGUUUUGAGAUAAAACACAACCCAAAUCGAUCUAUUCAUAAGUAAAGAUCGUAACAAACUUACACGCAUACAAUCAGGUUGGCCAUGAUACGCGCAGACAUGAGCAACGGAUGGGCCAAACCCAUCCCUUAACCGAGAUCUGAUAUUAUCAUAUCUACUAAGAAGAGCCCGAACACAUUCGGGGGAUCCAGCUGCAAGCGCAAAGACAAGUGGUGGGUCCCCAUCUGUAUCAAGAACAUCCACAUUGGCCUCUCCAAUAAGCACCACACAGUCCCAAACAAUCCAAUGAAACAAAUUUAAACUCAUAAGACAACCUUGUAUUUUCCAUGGCUGAUCCACACAUCAAGUAGACAUAUAACUACAUUUUAAUAGAAUCGCAACUGCGAUUUAAAAUUCUCACUACCUUAGAUGCAAUCGAACAUCAAAAAGA